UGGGGAAUAUUGCGCAAUGGGCGAAAGCCUGACGCAGCGACGCCGCGUGGGUGAUGAAGGCCUUCGGGUCGUAAAGCCCUGUCGGGAGGGACGAAACCUCGGUGACAUAAUACGUCACCGACCUGACGGUACCUCUUAAGGAAGCACCGGCUAACUCCGUGCCAGCAGCCGCGGUAAUACGGAGGGUGCGAGCGUUGUUCGGAAUUACUGGGCGUAAAGCGCGUGCAGGCGGUCUCUUAAGUUUGGUGUGAAAGCCCGGGGCUCACGCCCGGAAGGGCACUGGAGGCUGGGAGGCUAGAGUACCGGAGAGGAAGGUGGAAUUCCUGGUGUAGCGGUGAAAUGCGUAGAUAUCAGGAGGAACACCUGUGACGAAGGCGGCCUUCUGGACGGCUACUGACGCUGAGACGCGAAAGCGUGGGGAGCAAACA
rnacentral:rRNA from 1 species